rnacentral:rRNA from 2 species
AUGCAGUCGAACGCGUUGGCCCAAUUGAUUGAUGGUGCUUGCACCUGAUUGAUUUUGGUCGCCAACGAGUGGCGGACGGGUGAGUAACACGUAGGUAACCUGCCCAGAAGCGGGGGACAACAUUUGGAAACAGAUGCUAAUACCGCAUAACAGCGUUGUUCGCAUGAACAACGCUUAAAAGAUGGCUUCUCGCUAUCACUUCUGGAUGGACCUGCGGUGCAUUAGCUUGUUGGUGGGGUAACGGCCUACCAAGGCGAUGAUGCAUAGCCGAGUUGAGAGACUGAUCGGCCACAAUGGGACUGAGACACGGCCCAUACUCCUACGGGAGGCAGCAGUAGGGAAUCUUCCACAAUGGGCGCAAGCCUGAUGGAGCAACACCGCGUGAGUGAAGAAGGGUUUCGGCUCGUAAAGCUCUGUUGUUAAAGAAGAACACGUAUGAGAGUAACUGUUCAUACGUUGACGGUAUUUAACCAGAAAGUCACGGCUAAAAACGUGCCAGAG